UACGGAGGGGGCGAGCGUUAUUCGGAAUUAUUGGGCGUAAAGGGCGCGUAGGCGGCUCUAUAAGUCAAAGGUGAAAUCCCUCGGCUCAACUGAGGAACUGCCUUUGAAACUGUUGGGCUUGAGGCCGGGAGAGGGUAGUGGAAUUCCCAGUGUAGCGGUGAAAUGCGCAGAUAUCGGGAGGAACACCGGUGGCGAAGGCGGAUCUCUGGGCCUGUCCUGACGCUCAGGCGCGAAAGCUAGGGGAGCGAACAGG
rnacentral:rRNA from 1 species